GUCCACGCCCUAAACGAUGCAUAUUUGGUGUGGGCAGUUCAUUCUGUCCGUGCCGGAGCUAACGCGUUAAAUAUGCCGCCUGGGGAGUACAGUCGCAAGGCUGAAACUCAAAGGAAUUGACGGGGGCCCGCACAAGCGGUGGAGCAUGUGGUUCAAUUCGACGCAACGCGAAGAACCUUACCUGGGCUCGAACGGCUGGUCAACGGCGUUGGAAACAGCGCUACCACGCAAGGGGGUCCAGUCGAGGUGCUGCAUGGCUGUCGU
rnacentral:rRNA from 1 species